rnacentral:rRNA from 1 species
CCUACGGGUGGCAGCAGUGGGGAAUAUUGCACAAUGGGGGAAACCCUGAUGCAGCGACGCCGCGUGAGUGAAGAAGUAAUUCGUUAUGUAAAGCUCUAUCAGCAGGGAAGAAAAUGACGGUACCUGAGUAAGAAGCCCCGGCUAACUACGUGCCAGCAGCCGCGGUAAUACGUAGGGGGCAAUCGUUAUCCGGAGUUACUGGGGGGAAAGGGAGCGUAGACGGCAGUGCAAGUCUGGAGUGAAAGGCGGGGGCUCAACCCCCGGACUGCUCUGGAAACUGUACGGCUGGAGUGCAGGAGAGGUGAGUGGAAUUCCUAGUGUAGCGGUGAAAUGCGUAGAUAUUAGGAGGAACACCAGUGGCGAAGGCGGCUUACUGGACUGUAACUGACGUUGAGGCUCGAAAGCGUGGGGAGCAAACAGGAUUAGAUACCCUUGUAGUC